UACGUAGGGGGCUAGCGUUGUCCGGAAUCAUUGGGCGUAAAGCGCGUGUAGGCGGUCCGGUAAGUCCGCUGUGAAAGUCGGGGGCUCAACCCUCGAAUGCCGGUGGAUACUGUCGGGCUAGAGUGCGGAAGAGGCGAGUGGAAUUCCUGGUGUAGCGGUGAAAUGCGCAGAUAUCGGGAGGAACACCAGUAGCGAAGGCGGCUCGCUGGGCCACACCUGACGCUGAGAACGCGAAAGCUAGGGGAGGCGAACAGG
rnacentral:rRNA from 1 species